GAUGAACGCUGGCGGCGUGCCUAAUACAUGCAAGUCGAGCGAACGGACGAGAAGCUUGCUUCUCUGAUGUUAGCGGCGGACGGGUGAGUAACACGUGGAUAACCUACCUAUAAGACUGGGAUAACUUCGGGAAACCGGAGCUAAUACCGGAUAAUAUUUUGAACCGCAUGGUUCAAAAGUGAAAGACGGUCUUGCUGUCACUUAUAGAUGGAUCCGCGCUGCAUUAGCUAGUUGGUAAGGUAACGGCUUACCAAGGCAACGAUGCAUAGCCGACCUGAGAGGGUGAUCGGCCACACUGGAACUGAGACACGGUCCAGACUCCUACGGGAGGCAGCAGUAGGGAAUCUUCCGCAAUGGGCGAAAGCCUGACGGAGCAACGCCGCGUGAGUGAUGAAGGUCUUCGGAUCGUAAAACUCUGUUAUUAGGGAAGAACAUAUGUGUAAGUAACUGUGCACAUCUUGACGGUACCUAAUCAGAAAGCCACGGCUAACUACGUGCCAGCAGCCGCGGUAAUACGUAGGUGGCAAGCGUUAUCCGGAAUUAUUGGGCGUAAAGCGCGCGUAGGCGGUUUUUUAAGUCUGAUGUGAAAGCCCACGGCUCAACCGUGGAGGGUCAUUGGAAACUGGAAAACUUGAGUGCAGAAGAGGAAAGUGGAAUUCCAUGUGUAGCGGUGAAAUGCGCAGAGAUAUGGAGGAACACCAGUGGCGAAGGCGACUUUCUGGUCUGUAACCGACGCUGAUGCGCGAAAGCGUGGGGAUCAAACAGGAUUAGAUACCCUGGUAGUCCACGCCGUAAACGAUGAGUGCUAAGUGUUAGGGGGUUUCCGCCCCUUAGUGCUGCAGCUAACGCAUUCAGCACUCCGCCUGGGGAGUACGACCGCAAGGUUGAAACUCAAAGGAAUUGACGGGGACCCGCACAAGCGGUGGAGCAUGUGGUUUAAUUCGAAGCAACGCGAAGAACCUUACCAAAUCUUGACAUCCUUUGACAACUCUAGAGAUAGAGCCUUCCCCUUCGGGGGACAAAGUGACAGGUGGUGCAUGGUUGUCGUCAGCUCGUGUCGUGAGAUGUUGGGUUAAGUCCCGCAACGAGCGCAACCCUUAAGCUUAGUUGCCAUCAUUAAGUUGGGCACUCUAAGUUGACUGCCGGUGACAAACCGGAGGAAGGUGGGGAUGACGUCAAAUCAUCAUGCCCCUUAUGAUUUGGGCUACACACGUGCUACAAUGGACAAUACAAAGGGCAGCGAAACCGCGAGGUCAAGCAAAUCCCAUAAAGUUGUUCUCAGUUCGGAUUGUAGUCUGCAACUCGACUACAUGAAGCUGGAAUCGCUAGUAAUCGUAGAUCAGCAUGCUACGGUGAAUACGUUCCCGGGUCU
rnacentral:rRNA from 1 species